rnacentral:rRNA from 1 species
GACGUAGGGCGCGAGCGUUGUCCGGAUUUAUUGGGCGUAAAGAGCUCGUAGGCGGCUUGUCGCGUCGACUGUGAAAUCCCGAGGCUCAACUUCGGGCUUGCAGUCGAUACGGGCAGGCUAGAGUUCGGUAGGGGAGACUGGAAUUCCUGGUGUAGCGGUGAAAUGCGCAGAUAUCAGGAGGAACACCGAUGGCGAAGGCAGGUCUCUGGGCCGAUACUGACGCUGAGGAGCGAAAGCAUGGGUAGCGAACAGG